rnacentral:lncRNA from 1 species
UGACUGACCAAAAGUAUGAAGCGACGAUCAACAGUGACUCAUUCCUCUGCAUAUCGGCAAGGGACAACCUAAUGCACUGGUCCAAUUUUCGCUCGCCCCAUUGAACCUCAUUUGAAUGACUGACUCUCAAGAACCAAUCCUUCCAUCCCUUGGUAGGACUGGGCCAGGAACGGAAGGCAUCCUUCCAUAGAUCUAGGGAGAAAUUUUCGGCUCUAAAAGAAACUAUGUUUGUCUGUGCGUUUAUCAGAUCGGUGGGAUCUAGGUUUCCUAGCGGGCCAAGACAUUGUAGGUGAGGUUGAUUGGUAGAAAUAAUGAUCUUAUCAGCCAGAUCCUAAAGGUUUGUGGGGAUAAAAGAAAGAACAAAAAAGAAAAAGGAGUAUUCAGUAAAAGAAAUCGCGGAUGAACCGGAGUACGGUAAAGAUGCAGAAAAGAAGGGUAGUGAACGGACCUCAGGCACGGUGAAGUUGAUGGCCAUUUUCUUGCGAGGAAGAAGAUCAAAGACUUGGG